ACGAAUAUAAUUCGAGGGGUUGUCGCUGGUCUCGCUCGCGAGGCAUGUGCACGCUUCUUGUUUUUCUCUCAACUCACCCGUGCACCUAAUGUAGGAUGCCUCUCCUCCGGGAGGGGGGACCUAUGUCUUCGUAUACAUCUUCGUGUAGAAAGUCUUUGAAUGUUUACUAUCAUCGAGUCGCGACUUCUAGGAGACGCGAUUCUUUGAGAUAAAAGUUAUUA
rnacentral:misc_RNA from 1 species